rnacentral:rRNA from 1 species
CAUGUCGUGGGGGAUAACGUAGCGAAAGCUACGCUAGUACCGCAUACGUCCUGAGGGAGAAAGCGGGGGAUCUUCGGACCUCGCGCGAUUGGAGCGGCCGAUGUCGGAUUAGCUAGUAGGUGGGGUAAAGGCCCACCUAGGCGACGAUCCGUAGCGGGUCUGAGAGGAUGAUCCGCCACACUGGGACUGAGAGACGGCCCAGACUCCUACGGGAGGCAGCAGUAGGGAAUUUUGGACAAUGGGCGCAAGCCUGAUCCAGCCAUGCCGCGUGAGUGAAGAAGGCCUUCGGGUUGUAAAGCUCUUUCGGCCGGGAAGAAAUCGUGGUCUCUAACAUAGGCCAUGGAUGACGGUACCGGACUAAGAAGCACCGGCUAACUACGUGCCAGCAGCCGCGGUAAUACGUAGGGUGCGAGCGUUAAUCGGAAUUACUGGGCGUAAAGCGUGCGCAGGCGGUUUUGUAAGACAGAUGUGAAAUCCCCGGGCUUAACCUGGGAACUGCGUUUGUGACUGCAAGGCUAGAGUACGGCAGAGGGGGGUGGAAUUCCUGGUGUAGCAGUGAAAUGCGUAGAGAUCAGGAGGAACACCGAUGGCGAAGGCAGCCCCCUGGGCCUGUACUGACGCUCAUGCACGAAAGCGUGGGGAGCAAACAGGAUUAGAUACCCUGGUAGUCCACGCCCUAAACGAUGUCGACUAGUCGUUCGGAGCAGCAAUGCACUGAGUGACGCAGCUAACGCGUGAAGUCGACCGCCUGGGGAGUACGGCCGCAAGGUUAAAACUCAAAGGAAUUGACGGGGACCCGCACAAGCGGUGGAUGAUGUGGAUUAAUUCGAUGCAACGCGAAAAACCUUACCUACCCUUGACAUGU